UACGGAGGGUGCAAGCGUGUCCGGAAUCACUUGGGCGUAAAGGGCGCGUAGGCGGCUCAUGAAGGCUGUGGUGAAAGUCCGGGGCUCAACCUCGGAUCGGCCGUGGCGACUCGUGGGCUGGAGCACUGUAGAGGCGGGUGGAAUUCCGGGUGUAGCGGUGGAAUGCGUAGAGAUCCGGAAGAACACCAGUGGCGAAGGCGGCCCGCUGGCAGUGGCUGACGCUGAGGCGCGA
rnacentral:rRNA from 1 species